UAUGCAUAGCUACUAAGGCGAACAAUGGAAAAAUGCUUUAAUCCUAUUGACGUUUAAUCAAGCUGAAGUCAGAAAAUGGAAGAUGUCGGAAAAGCGGCGCAUGGACAGAGGGGAUGAGGACAACGGAGAACGGAAAACGGAAAACGUGGCGGGCGGCAGACAAAAGCCGCGCAUUGGCAAUUACAAAACAUUUUGCAUUUUGCUGUUGAAUUUUCAAUUGGCUUCAGCUAUGAAUUUCCAUUUCCAUUACCAUUUGCAGUUGUUUACCUGUAACCUGUUGCUUUCCACAAGUGGCAGAAGCCCCAGAUGUAAAUCAAAGCAGGCAGAGAGGUUAUACGGUGAGUGAAAGAAAACAGCGAUACAAGGACAAAAACAGAAAGCAGGACACAGUCAAAGCAAAAGGAAGAAAGGCCAAGUGGAAUGUCAAGUAUUUUAGCUUCUCAGCUUUUCAGCCAGAAAUGCUGACUGUCGCCUCCCUUAAUUUCAGAGUUGCCAGUAUCCUUGAAAAGUGCCCGCUCAGCAGUGGCAAAACCGACUGGCGGCAGACAUCGACAUCAACAUCGAAAUUAGCCCCAAACCCUUGGACUCCAAAAUGCACUCAGCGUUUUGUGCGUUGUCAUUGGAAGCUAAAUAAAUUGAAAUUAGACGAUGUCAGCAGAAAAGCCAAAA